GAUGAAGAACGUAGCGAAAUGCGAUACUUGGUGUGAAUUGCAGAAUCCCGUGAACCAUCGAGUCUUUGAACGCAAGUUGCGCCCGAAGCCAUUAGGCCGAGGGCACGCCUGCCUGGGCGUCACACGUCGUUGCCCCCCCAUCUACUCCUUCGGGAUUGCGGGGGGCGGAUGAUGGCCUCCCGUGCGCCUCGCCGCGCGGUUGGCAUAAAUGCCAAGUCCUCGGCGACGCACGCCACGACAAUCGGUGGUUGCGAAACCUCGGUUGCCCGUCGUGUGCGGUCGUCGCGCAUCGAGGGCUCGAAAAAAUUGCCGGGUUCCGGCUCGGCUUUCAACGCGACCCCAGGUCAGGUGGGGUUACCCGCUGAAUUUAAGCAUAUCAAUAAGCGGAGGA
rnacentral:misc_RNA from 1 species